rnacentral:sRNA from 1 species
AUGCAUAUAUCUAUACAUAAUCGAAGCCAGGAAAAUUAAAAAAAGUUAUAUUUCAAGUUUCUAAAUUUACUUCUGGGCAUGAGAUAAGUGAUAAUAGCAACUGAUAAAUGCAAGUGAUAAAUGCAACCUGUAAACAGAUUAACAUCAGUCUAAGUCUGUCGGCAUGGAAUCUUUGGAAUUGCAACUUAGGGAGUUGUCGGUAUUGAAUAACGUUCAGCCGUUGCCGCCGAAAGGGUUUGCCGUCGAGUAUGUAAGACAAGGAAAAGUCGCAGAAUUAGUUGGAAAUUUACAGCAAAAUCCAUAUGCUGUACAAGAUGAUACUCUCUAUAAGAAAAUGGCUCCAUCUGUUCCACCAAAGCCGCCAAAGAAGCAUAAUGAGAUGCCUCAGGUAUGCAUUCACUACUGAUGAAAUCAAACUACACAUAUACCUCACUUUGCAGUUGCUUAUACAACCAUAUAGCCAACGACGCCAUGUCUGUAAACCAUAACCUUCAUAGGCAUCGUACAUAUCUAUGUAUAGGAACUUUUUUCCUCACUAGUUAUGGUCAACAAAAUACCAAUACAUAAUUACUGCUAACAUUUACAUACGUUAACAGUACAAUUUUCGCUCUGAGGGUUAAAUCUAAGGUCUUUGAGAACAUUGUUUUGGGCGUAAUAUUUUGAUGUUUGUCCUUAUUAUACCUUGCAAUCUGUUCUAACAUCGACAAGGCGCAGUUUUUCUAGUUUAUGGUUAGUAAAUAAUCCAUAUCGCGUUGCCAAUAGGUUUUGUCUGUCUGACCCAAGGUUAGGUUAACCCAGAAGACCCUCAGAGGGGCCCCGCAUAGGCCAGUAGGGCCCUUAGUUAUCCAUAUGGAGAUUUGUUUUUAUUCUUAGCAAAGGCAAGCUCCUUCGGCGUCCUCUUGUUGGCAUCUUUCACUGAAACCAGUACCGGGGCGCCGGUAUCUUCUUGCCCGACCUGUGAGUAAUCCCACUAACCUUCUGCAGUCCUACCAUGAUAGUUGCAGUAAGUAGUGGCUGAGUUUUUCAUUGCGAUCUUUGCUGUGGUUUUCGAAACUCCAAAUUGCUUUAAAGCGUUCUAAGGGAGACAGGCAAACCUGGGAAACCAAAAUAUCCGUACUAACCUUGUCGUGCUUAGGGUGUCUAGUACCUUCCUGCUUGCCAAGACUCUUCUGGAACUGACCUUGGCUACGUUUAAGUUCAAUUAUGAAGCUGAGGGUCGAUGAACAAACCUCCGUUAUAGUAAGUUAUAAGUUGCCUCUUGAUGUUCAACAUUUCCUCGACUUUGUGCUGACUAUUGCAGCCUAAUUAAUCGCCAUUCGUUACACUGCCCUCAGCCUAAUCUUGUUCGUCCCCAACAAGUCCAAGUCUCUCAGCCGUACUAUUUUGUAGGGUCAGUUGGCAGUUGGGGUCAGGGUCAGUUAGCCACUCCCUAAAUUCCUCGAAAUUUAACUAGAAUUUGUGGAAACUUUGUUUAUAAGACAUUUGGCAUUUUUAUACCCAAAAUGAGUAUAGGGUUAUGUUAGAUUAGUGGGGA